rnacentral:rRNA from 1 species
GACGAACGCUGGCGGCGUGCUUAACACAUGCAAGUCGAACGGAAAGGCCCUGCUUUUGUGGGGUGCUCGAGUGGCGAACGGGUGAGUAACACGUGAGUAACCUGCCCUUGACUUUGGGAUAACUUCAGGAAACUGGGGCUAAUACCGGAUAGGAGCUCCUGCUGCAUGGUGGGGUUGGAAAGAUUCGGCGGUUGGGGAUGGACUCGCGGCUUAUCAGCUUGUUGGUGGGGUAGUGGCUUACCAAGGCUUUGACGGGUAGCCGGCCUGAGAGGGUGACCGGCCACAUUGGGACUGAGAUACGGCCCAGACUCCUACGGGAGGCAGCAGUGGGGAAUAUUGCACAAUGGGCGGAAGCCUGAUGCAGCAACGCCGCGUGCGGGAUGACGGCCUUCGGGUUGUAAACCGCUUUCGCCUGUGACGAAGCGUGAGUGACGGUAAUGGGUAAAGAAGCACCGGCUAACUACGUG